UUUCAUUUCCUAUUGUCAGGAUAAAGUGACACUUUCUGCAAAUAUGACAAAAACAGAUUUUUACAAAAG